AUGAUUGUACUUUUUUGAGAUUGUUUUUCAAGUCAUUCUUGACUUGAGAAUUGUGGUCCUUCAGAGUUCGGUUUUGCUAAGUACAAUGACAUGAACAGAUAUUCCUUCCUGAGCAUGAAGCUGGCAGUGGCGGUAAAGAAUGAUUCUUUUGCGUGUUCUUUACCACUGAUGAAGGUUUGCUACUUCGUAUUGGAGCUUUGAUGGAAGGAAUACAUUCAGAGUA